AGCACAUGCAAGUCGAGCGAGACCUUCGGGUCUAGCGGCGGACGGGUGAGUAACGCGUGGGAACGUGCCCUUCUCUACGGAAUAGCCCCGGGAAACUGGGAGUAAUACCGUAUACGCCCUUUGGGGGAAAGAUUUAUCGGAGAAGGAUCGGCCCGCGUUGGAUUAGGUAGUUGGUGGGGUAAUGGCCCACCAAGCCGACGAUCCAUAGCUGGUUUGAGAGGAUGAUCAGCCACACUGGGACUGAGACACGGCCCAGACUCCUACGGGAGGCAGCAGUGGGGAAUCUUAGACAAUGGGGGCAACCCUGAUCUAGCCAUGCCGCGUGAGUGAUGAAGGCCUUAGGGUUGUAAAGCUCUUUCAGCUGGGAAGAUAAUGACGGUACCAGCAGAAGAAGCCCCGGCUAACUCCGUGCCAGCAGCCGCGGUAAUACGGAGGGGGCUAGCGUUGUUCGGAAUUACUGGGCGUAAAGCGCACGUAGGCGGACUGGAAAGUCAGAGGUGAAAUCCCAGGGCUCAACCUUGGAACUGCCUUUGAAACUAUCAGUCUGGAGUUCGAGAGAGGUGAGUGGAAUUCCGAGUGUAAAAGGUGAAAUUCGUAAAUAUUCNGAGGAACACCAGUGGCGAANGCGGCUCCUGGGCUCCGAUACUGACCCUUGAAGGGCGAAAAGCCGUGGGGNAGCAAAACNGGAAUUANAAUACCCUGGGUNAGNCCCCCCUUUAAAANC
rnacentral:rRNA from 1 species